rnacentral:rRNA from 1 species
UUGACCUCGGAUCAGGUAGGGAUACCCGCUGAACUUAAGCAUAUCAAUAAGCGGAGGAAAAGAAACCAACAGGGAUUACCUCAGUAACGGCGAGUGAAGCGGUAACAGCUCAAAUUUGAAAUCUGGCUCCUUUGGAGCCCGAGUUGUAAUUUGGAGAAGAUGCUUUGGGUAUGGGCCUGGCCUAAGUUCCUUGGAACAGGACGUCGUAGAGGGUGAGAAUCCCGUAUGCGGCUGGUGCCCUUGUCCGUGUAAAGCUCUUUCGACGAGUCGAGUUGUUUGGGAAUGCAGCUCUAAAUGGGUGGUAAAUUUCAUCUAAAGCUAAAUAUGGGCCGGAGACCGAUAGCGCACAAGUAGAGUGAUCGAAAGAUGAAAAGCACUUUGGAAAGAGAGUUAAACAGUACGUGAAAUUGUUGAAAGGGAAGCGCUGGCAACCAGACUUGGGCGCUGCUGAUCCGCUGGGGUUCUCCCCGGGGUACUCAGCAGCGCGCAGGCCAGCAUCGGUUUGGGUGGUUGGAGAAAGGCGAGAGGAAUGUAGCUGUCUCUCGGGGCAGUGUUAUAGCCUCUCGCGUCAUGCAGCCUACCCGGACCGAGGACCGCGCUUCGGCUAGGAUGCUGGCGUAAUGGUUGUCAGCGACCCGUCUUGAAACACGGACCAAGGAGUCUAACAUCUAUGCGAGUGUUUGGGUGUCAAACCCAUGCGCGGAAUGAAAGUGAACGCAGGUGAGAACCCGUUAGGGUGCAUCAUCGA